AUGGCCUAAAGGAAAACAAGUGAAUCUUUAGGUGGCCUAUAAGGUUAUUAUCCCUUUUCAUUAAGAAUACAUUUUGGGUGGCUUUCGACGCAUCUCACCUAUUCGACCCGUUUGAUACAAAGAACCCAAAUUAAGUCAUUCAUAAGUGAAUGGGUUGAGUUUUCAGCUUCUAAGCUAGCCUUUCUUCUCUAUGUCUGGAUUCAAAUCUUUCUUUUCCGUAUUCAAUAAUCCAAACAUCCUCAUCCCAAAAUAUAUCAAAUAAGAUUAAUUUUAAAGGUUAUGACUUUAUAAGUAUGGGCAUUCCAUUAUCGACUUAUUUGUGCAGCUGACUGACAUAGACAGUUGACUGACUAACCUUUGGUGUUGGACUUGGACCUUGUGGAGUAGGUUGCCUAAGGUCAGACACUGCAAUUACAAGAAAAAAAGUCGCUUUUGGAAAAAUUUUACUCUGUUCAAGUUUGUUUAUGGUGCACAAGGCUAUAAGUCACAACAUUUUCAUGGUUUAGAACUUUAGAUAGUUGCAGAUUGUGUAGUAUAUUAGACGUGUGUGUUGUGUAUGGAUAAUAUAUGUUGUUUACUUAUCAUUUUCAAGUAGGAAAACUAGGCAUAUAUGUUAGGGGUUGCUGUGAAAUACCUAUACUAAAAGUAGGCAUAUAUUUAGGGAAAAAUGUCAUGCAUUACUUCAUUUUACCUGUAGUGUUCAUAGGUUAGUCAUAAACUUUAAUAGGAUUAUUGGUCUUUUUUGGGCACGCUAAGUGGCAGGAAGAAGCAUCCAAUUGGCUCAUGAACUUGGAGCCCCAAAAGGGAUGCAUACUAAGUUUGAUUGUUAAUUCCUUGAAGAUCAACCCAUCAUUGCUCUAAUGUCUUUUGUAGUGAGGUAUGUGCAGUAGCAUGAUGAAUGAUGAGUAGGGUAUAGACUUAUUUGAUCGGAUAUAUGUAUACAUAAAUUUGAAGCUCUAUGCCAAUAACAAUUGCAUGAUUGUUGUAGAAAUUCAUUUUAUAUAUUUGCGAAUGCAAUAAUGUUGUUCAAAUAUGCCGAGGCAAAGGAAGGUUGAUGUCGUAUCGUUAGAAUACAUGCAACCAAAUACCAUUAUUUGGCACAAUCCUGCACUUACUUUAUAGACAUAAUUUUGCGGUUGUGUACUUGGCACUGCUUUCCUGUUGCUUUUGCAGCGAACAAGUAUUUUGACGGAAGGCUAGCUUUCUCCGUUAUAAGAUGUUGCUACUGGCGAUGCACUAAUGCCAUAUACUCCAAUUUUUCUAUGCAAAAAUCUUCAGUUGUAUCUAUAUGACCAUGUCUACCAUUUUACCUUUUUUUUAUAUUAUUAUUUUAACAUUUAAUUCUCA